rnacentral:rRNA from 1 species
AUUGAUAAUAAAACAUAAAAAAUAAAAAAGCUUGAUCUCGUGUGAUCUCGGAAGCUAAGCAGGGUCGGGCCUGGUUAGUACUUGGAUGGAGACCGCCUGGGAAUACCAGGUGCUGUAAGCU